GGUGGGCGUCGCCAAGUGGUAAGGCAGAGCUUUGUGGCAGCUCUAGUCGUGGGUUCAAUUCCCAUCGUCCGCCU
rnacentral:tRNA from 1 species